GUUGGUGACCAGCGGAGGGAUCAUUACGAAAUAGAGUACUCGUGCUCUUUAACCCUUUGUGAACCGAAAAACUGUCAGUUGCUUCGGCGGGAGGCCCCUGGGAGGGGCCCCGGGGCCCGGACCUGAGCCGGGCUCCCGCCGGAGGAGCGCAAACCAAAAACUCUUGUUGUAUGCACAGUGGCGCAUCCGAGUCUAAAGAUAAAGAAAAAACAAGUUAAAACUUUCAACAACGGAUCUCUUGGUUCUGGCAUCGAUGAAGAACGCAGCGAAAUGCGAUAAGUAAUGUGAAUUGCAGAAUUCAGUGAAUCAUCGAAUCUUUGAACGCACAUUGCGCCCGCCAGUAUUCUGGCGGGCAUGCCUGUUCGAGCGUCAUUUCAACCCCUCAGGCCCCCGGGCCUGGCGUCGGGGCUCUCCCUCGCGGGAGGCCCCCAGAGACAGUGGCGGGCCCGCCGCGGCUCCGAGCGCAGUAGUAAAAUUCUCGCUCUGGAGGUCCGCGGGGGGUGCUCCCGGCCGUAAAAAGCCUGAUGUCGCCAUCAGACACACCCAGAGGUUGACCUCGGAUCAGGUAGGAAUACCCGCUGAACUUAAGCAUAUCAAUAAGCGGAGGAAAAGAAACCAACAGGGAUUGCCCCAGU
rnacentral:rRNA from 1 species